UGUAGUGUCAACGAUGAUGCAUACAUGUCAACUAUGGGUGUUGGCUCUAAUAAUUCGCAUUGGUCUCAAACCAAUGACAUGCAUUUCAAAGAUCAUGAGUUCGAGGUGGACGAGGAUGGGGAGGGCAUUGUCAAUGCACCAAAAGGAAGAGGAGGCAACUACACCAACGAUGAAGAUGUUGUGCUAUGAAAAACUUGGUUGGACGUGUCGAGGGAUCCAUCCAUUGGAGCUGAUCAAAGUAGAGAUGCUUAUUAG
rnacentral:rRNA from 1 species